AGUCCUCACCUCCCACAUGCUUUUCAUCACCCGCUCUCACAUCCCAUCUGGGGCCUCUGCUUCCAUCCUACCAUUUCGCAAGCCUGGCCAACUCAAGCUCCGUGUGCUGCACCUAGAGCAGCCCAUCUCUGUGUCAGGGAGGUGAGCUGCUCAGUUGCCAGAGUAUCAACCUGAGCCCAGGACACUGCCAGACUGCUGAGUCAAAGAGGGUUUAGCAGCCCAUUUUCAUAGACAGACAGGUGAGAGGAGGAUGCUGGACAUGGUCCCAGAGACAUGGGGACUCAAGAAACAUGAAGAUCUGUUCACAGCUAAGGGCACAUUUCCAUGCCGAGAAAUCAGGCGUGAGCGCAAGAGUCCUAUCGUCUACCAGAAAAAGAAAUCUUUGGGAGAACUGCAAUCCAAGCAAAUGUGGUGGGUGUGAAGCUUUCAAGAAGUUGGGUCAAGAACAAGGACUGAAAGAGGAGCAU
rnacentral:lncRNA from 1 species